rnacentral:lncRNA from 1 species
GAGGUCAAAUGUAUUUAAUUUCCCCAAUAUAAGAAAUUAAUAAAAGCUUUAAUACAAAACAUGGAUAUACGUUGAUGACUGUGAUUAUAGGAAACAAGAAUCUUUGUCACACAGGACAGUUGUGUACAACAGUGGGACUUACAGGGAAACUAUACAUUGGAAGUGUACACGUACAGUAUUACACAUUAUUUCACAUUUAUGUUGGACAUGUACCUAUUGUGCUACCAAAAUGAAGUAAACGACAAAGACAAAAACAGCAUGUAAGACCAGAGUGAACCGCAUUGCAGUUUUACCUCAACAGGUAUUGGACUAGGUCUUCCAACACAGUUACAGUGCAUUUCUACUGACUUGUAAAGUUGCAUUUCUAGAUGACUGAGUGUGUCACGAUGCACACAAUCUAACACGUUGUCCUAUUCACUGCAUUGCACUUUUAGAUUUCAGUUGAUGAAACACAAGACCAUCAUUAUUAUUGUAUAGCAUCGCUAGAUUUGCAGCAGCUACAUAAUAAUAAGCAUAAAUAUGCUCGUUGUCAAAUUAUUAACACAUCAUUUUCAGCCCAAACAUUGCUUUAGUUAUAGGGCGUGACAUGACAAUUCUGACCACAAAUAGAAUAUGUAUUAACAAGUGAUGAGAACAGCAUUUGGUUUUUUAAAAGCCAUUUAACAAACGCUCUUCAAAGUCAAAUCCAUUUGAUGAUGAUUGGCACAAGAAUGUAACGCGAGAAAAAUAACCCGUUGAUCUUGAAUCUUUCGACGUUUCUGUCUAGUGCGAAGCAUCUGUGCUGUAGUACAUCUACAUUCUGGUGAAUCUCACAACAACUAUUUAAUAGUAGUCUUUCCACAGUUAUACACAUUAUUGAUAAAGCUACUCUAAAUAAAUACUCAUCUCUUUAUAACUUUUAUCCACAAUUCCAGCAAUGCAAUCAUGCGACUAAUUCAUUUAUAAAGUAUUCUUUAAGGGUUCAUCAGUGAGGAUAUAUAUCACUUCACAAGAAGGGAUUUGGUAAGAUAAAUGAGGGAGACAAUGAGAAAGAGAGGGGGGCUGGAACACAGAUACCCAAGUUCUGGGGCCAAAUGCAAAGGUGACAGGGGGUCAUUGACUCCACAAAUACGGUUUUAUACACAAAAUAUGGACAUUAUGUCACAUUUUCUGCUGAGAGUACUUUUUCUGGGGUUUCAAUGAUGAACAUAGACUUAUCUGAAUAACUUAACAAAGUAACACAAGCCUUGAAAAAUAACAAGCUAUUUGGAAAAGGAAAGCUCUUGAUUUGUUAAUCAGUGUUUCAAGUUACUAUGGCUACAAUGUUAAGCAGUCUAACAGUCUUAGACUUAGUGCUUGGCAGGCACAGUCAUUUUUAUACCAUUUAUACAUGGAUAACAGACAUGUAAAAACAGUUCAACUGAAGACAGUUUAUCUGUACAAUGAAUACUCACAACCAAAA